UGUUCCCUACAACGAGCGUUGGUAAUUAGUGGUCCAGUCUAUUGAUGUUAGGAAAUCUUAUUUUCUUGUUUAGCUUAGUGGGAGUAUGUUCCCCUAGGCUUUCUGCAUUCUAUUUUUCUCUGCAUGAGGGUUGUUCAUGCUUUUCUGGUUUGUCACUGU